UACUACAUUUUUGACUAAAUGCAACAGCUAAUGACAGGCUAAUGCAACGCCAUUUGUAUUGCCGUUGCAAUAGAUUAGGCUAAUGCAACAAAUCUUUCUUUUUAACUUCACUAAGUAGAGCUAAUACAACGGCUGUUGAGAACCGUGGCGUUAGAUCAAUUAAUGUGAGGGGUAAAUGGCUACUGCAACGACACACCCAAAAAAAAAAUUAACGCCCUUAAAAUUCCCUCUAAUCUUUUUCCCAAAAUUUAGAACGCCUUAUACUCUGAUCCAGCCCUUAUACCCCUUUUUAUUACUAUUCCUUUUUUCUUUUCAGGUUCUUCCAAAAAAAAAAAAAAAAACCCCAGAAUUUCUCUCUGCCCCUCUCUCUCUCCUCAAAAUCUAUGGCAAUUCUAUACAAUCCUCAACAACCACCGUAGAAGAAUCGACUCUAAAACCGUAAUCUUCAACUCUCGAUCCUUUUAGUUUGCUAGGGUUUCUUCAAUCAGCCAUUGAUUUCGUCACCAAAGAGACGGAUUUUUUCGGCGAAACUCUGAGAAAGGAGGUUGUUUGUUCACUUGAGAAUGUGUGGGAGAUGCUUCAGGUAAAGGUAGAUGAGAAGGAGUACAUUUUUAUCGUAGUUGUUGCAUCUGCUUUAAAACCCAGAUCUUAAAACCACCAACAAUGGCGUCGGCUAAUCUAGAAAUGACGCAACCACCACCUGCACCACCACCGUGGUCAAACACCGACCUCUUUGGCGACCCAAUCUACGAUUUAACCCAGAUCUUCAAGAAUGACCUCUUUCUCCCUCCUGAUUUCGACUUCAAAGUUCGUACCCUUCGACACUCUUCUCCAAGAUUUCAUUUUCUAUUUCUUCUGCCGUCUACAUUCGUCGCAAUGGUAUUCCUCUCAAUCUCUCUAUUCUCAUUCAUCAAUGAUAAUCUAGUUUAGAUUAAUUUAUUGUGUAUGAAUCUGAUUUAUUUGACAUAUGUUUAGAUUGAUUUGUUUGAUUUUUUGUUGCUUGAAAUGUUAGUUUACAAUUUUGAGUUUAUUGUGAAAUUUGCAUUUUAAAAACUCCAAAUCAGUACUAUUUUAUGCGCUUUUUGUUUUUUUGAUCUGAUGAGUAGUCGAUUUUUUCAUUUUAAUGCUGAUUAUUAGCGUAGUUUGUUAGCUUUUGAGGUUGAUAUCAAUUGUUUUCUAGGGUUUAUGAAACAUCUGUUUGUAAUCUGUAAGAUUUGCUAGCUUUUGAGGUUCAUAUUAAUUGUUAUCUAGGGUUUAUGAAACAUCUAUUUGUAAUCUGUAAUCUUUGAUAGUGAUUUUAGUUUAGUAUAUAGGAAUUGUUGCCGGCACACUCAGAUUUAUCAAACAUUGGGCAUUGAAAGAUAACUUAUGCGUAUAAAAUAAAAUUGUGAAUUUGCUUCAUUUACUGGUAUAAGCAAUGAGUGAAUUGAAUGCUUGGAACUUUGUAUAGUGUCAAAAUUUGAGGGUGUUAAAGUUGCUUUUUUUUGUUUUAAUUUUGGUAUUUAUUGGUCUAGAAUGUGCGAUGAUUAUGCUUAGCUUUUGCUUAACAAAUUUUUGACUUAUACCUGUUUAUGUAAACAUGCCAAGAGAACCAAGAAGGUUGGUAUUGUCGAAAAAUACGACUUGCCUCUGAUUGUGGCCUCUAUGCACAAAAGAUUUAUGGUGGUGCCAAGACAGCUACCUGUAGAAGCUUGAAGAAAUGGGUUCUCCCACACGAGGGAACGAAUAAACUCAACUGCGAUGCCUCACUGAACGUUGAGGGGUGGGUGGGGCUUGGUGUUGUUGCAAGAGACUGGCAGGGGGAGGUGUUGUUCACUGCUUCCAGGCGCACCAGAGCUUACUAUCCCCCUGUUAUGGCAGAAAGCAAAGCUGCUGCUAUGGCAGUCAGAUUAGCCAAACGCUUUGGCUUGAAGGAUGUUAUUCUAGAAGCAAACUGUCAAGUCCUUAUCUCCAGAUUAUCAAAGGCCUCGGUUUACCUCACUGAUCUUGAUUCUAUUUUAGAUGAUAUAUUGUCUUCUUGUGUUGAUUUUAAUUCUGUUUUGUGGUUCCAUGUUGAGCGAGAUGGGAAUAAGGUUACCCAUAUCUUAGCUUGUUUUGCCUUACGAUUUUGAACAAGUUUGGGAGAACCUUUGUCCCAUUACGGGUAUUUUUUUUUAAAGGUAAUGAAUUAUGACCAUAAUAUGAUUGAUUUAGGUUGUUUAGUGCUGAUUAUGUUCAUAGAAAUCAUUCUAGAUGACUGCAUAUGAUAAUCUUUGUUUAGAACAGCUUUGUAUAUGAUUAGAGAUGGGUAAUUUGAAGUUCAAUACAUGUGGUAUCAGCCAUCAGGAUUUUAUUUUUGUUUGCUGUUAUGUUGGGUUAGUAGAUUGAAAGUGUAUGUAUGGGUGUAUCUGAUCAAUUGAUGCUUAUUGUUGCAUUGUUCAGGUACCCUUUAUGGUGCUAGUCUGCGUAAGCAGAUUAAGGAGAUGGAAGUAAGUCAGCACAACAAGUAAUUCUACAAGUUCUGAAUAUGGGGAAGAAAGGAGCAUAACCCCUAGCCUGGAAAGCAGAAUGCCUGAAUUGAUCGUAUCACAACAAGACUUAAUAAGACACGACACAAAUAUUUAAUUUUGAUACUUUUUUCAUAGUUUAAUUAGAGACAUAUUGUAUAAUUUUGUAAUUUUCCCUAAGGGUAACAAACUAACAAUGUACAAUUCUACAAUUUAUAUUAAUAAAGUUUGGAUUUGA